UACGUAGGUGGCGAGCGUUGUCCGGAUUUACUGGGCGUAAAGGGAGCGUAGGCGGACUUUUAAGUGAGAUGUGAAAUACCCGGGCUCAACUUGGGUGCUGCAUUUCAAACUGGAAGUCUAGAGUGCAGGAGAGGAGAAUGGAAUUCCUAGUGUAGCGGUGAAAUGCGUAGAUAUUAGGAGGAACACCAGUAGCGAAGGCGGCUCUCUGGACUGUAACUGACGCUGAGGCACGAAAGCGUGGGGAGCAAACCGGAUUAGAUACCCCUGUA
rnacentral:rRNA from 1 species